CAGCGUUGAGGGAGGAGCGCGUGCUGUGUCGUGUGUGCGCCAAGCCCCCCCUCUCCUCCCCCCUAACUACCAAUAACCUUAGCCUAAAGUCUUAUAAAUAUUCGACCGUGGAUAAUAUAAGACUAUUACCCAUACGAUCAGAAAUAAUAGUGUCGUUUAUAUUAGUGUUUCUAUAUAUAUAUAUGGAAGAAUAAAAAAAAUAGAAGGAUAAUUAUGAAAUGAAAGAUGAUAAAACAAGGUAGACAACAGUGAUGUCAUGAAGGUUUAUGCCUAGAAAACAGUGAGUGGUUUUUAUUGGGUCAUAUUCCAGAAAAAAUUGUUCAAAGAAACUAAAUAAAUCAGAAAAAAACAGAAAAAAAAUUGAGAUAUAAUUAUUAGAAAAUAUUGAGAAAAACAAACAGAAUCUAUCUCAAGUGUUUGAAAAAGAAAGAAAAAUCGACCUUAUGAGUGAAUUCUAAAUACCUAGAAAAUAGAAAACGUUUUAAUUUAUACAUAAUUACAAUAAUUAAACUUUGAAAACAUGAAAAAAUAAUAAUUCCCAUCAAUUAGGGUGAGGUGUAAUCAUGUCUACCUUAUUCAGCCCGAGAAGGUGAGGCUAAUGAGGUAGUGUGUGUGUGUGUUUGUGUGUGUGUGUCGUGUUACAACUUACUGCAGGAAUAAUUAACACACCUGAGUCAAUAUGUUCUCCACAAGUCAAACCUGAGAACCGUAUUAAUUGAUUCUAUAAGCGAACUACGUAACAAGACCCUCCAGCUUCCCUCCUUCUCCUCACCUUCCCUCCAUCCAUCCCUCCACCCCUCCUUCCCUCCUUCAUGGUGGGUCUAACGCAGAAGAAGAUGCACCCCUCCACCAGGCUCGCCACCUUCUGCGUCUUCUACCUGCUACUUACUGCUCCAGGUGUUAAAGGGUCGGCCUUGGUGGAGCGUGUGGAGGGAGUGGUCAAUGGAGAGCUCAUCCUUCCUUGUGAUGUCAUCCCGCCCAUUGAUGAUAGAGUAGCAGUUAUCCUCUGGUACCGCGACAACCA